CACUGCUAUCGGGGUUCGAUUAAGCCAUGCNAGUCNAGAGGGUUCAGACCCUCGGCGCACUGCUCAGUAACACGUGNAUAACCUACCCUGAGGAGGGGGAUAACCCCGGGAAACUGGGGAUAAUACNUCAUAGGUUUCAGAUGCUGGAAUGCUCUGAAACCGAAAUGCUCCGGCGCCUCAGGAUGGAUCUGCGGCCGAUUAGGUUGUUGUUGGGGUAACGGCCCAACAAGCCCGUCAUCGGUACGGGUUGUGAGAGCAAGAGCCCGGAGAUGGAUUCUGAGACACCAAUCCAGGCCCUACGGGGCGCAGCAGGCGCGAAACCUUUACAAUGCGAGCAAUCGUGAUAAGGGAACCCCGAGUGCCUGAAACCAGGCUGUUCAGGUGUUUAAAAAGCACCUGGAGAAAGGGCCGGGCAAGACCGGUGCCAGCCGCCGCGGUAAUACCGGCGGCUCGAGUGGUGGCCGCUAUUAUUGGGCUUAAAGCGUUCGUAGCUGGGUUGUUAAGUCUCUUGGGAAAUCUCACGGCUCAACCGUGAGGCGACUAAGAGAUACUGGCAAUCUUGGGACCGGGAGAGGUGAGAGGUACU
rnacentral:rRNA from 1 species